GCGUGGCGCUCUUUGAGCUCCGCGACUGAUAUUGCUUGAAAUUCGAGCUUAGGAUUCAGUCAUGGAGUGGAAGUCCAAAGAGGCUUCCAAUUCAAAGUGAAAUUUAUCAUUUGCAUUUCUGCUACUGGGAUUUCAAUUGGAAAUUCGAAUUCACUGGUGCAAAAAUUAUCUUAACACACAAAUUUAACCCUCUUUUGACAAUUGUAGUACAAGUAUAAGUAGGGAUCGUUCUGGACCGGGGAUUAGGAGGGCUUGCUAAUAACCUCUAAACUAACUCAAAAACAUAAAACUAAAUUUAAAAACACUUAACAAGACUCACAAGACUCAAAGCAAACUUAAAAUACUCAAAACAGCUUAAAACAACUAAAAAACUUAAACUAGACACUAGGAAUGACUUUGGACGAAAAUUGACUUUUACUUGAAUCAAAACAUUUAAAAACACAAAUUAAAAUAGAUUCUAACUAAUUAGACACACUCAAGUAAAGGGGGAUUGAAUUUUGGACGAAGUUGAAACAAACAAACAAGUAUGAAAAACUAGACAGAUUGUAAAACAAAUUUAAGAAAUAAGAUGAUGGAUGGGAUAGCUAGAGGCUUUUUCUCCACACAUGAUAUGUAUGCAAACAACUCGAUUUCCAGUUACUACUUCAUUGAAUUAUGAAUGACAAUGCUCCAAAUUAACCGUGACAUCACUAAUUAACUUUCAGAUUUUCCUUGUUUUAUUGGAUUGGAUGACAUCAUUCGACAACCCAAAACAUUCUUCUAAAGUUCCCUACAUGACAUCAUAAGAGAGAUACAAUCAAAGAUCAUUACGUUUAAUAAAAAUCAUAAGCAUUGACAAAGCACUUGCAACUAUGACAUCAUGUCACUCAUGUAAGGAAUUGAACUUAACGCGAUCGUUUAUAAGCGACCUUCACUACAUGUGAGUAUAAGUUUGUAACGAUUAUGUGAAACUUCCUUAUAUUCUGGCAACGGAUUUAUACAUGCUAAUUAAGUGUCGACCCUUAAUUAACAAAUACAAAUAAGUUAUCAAUCACAUAGUUAAGCCAAUUUCAUUCACGAUUCAAGAGUUCAUAACUGGAAUUUAUCAAAUUAUAUUGCACACAUAAUCAUGGCUUUGAAAUCACCCCUAGCCAAGAGGGGUUUAGCCACUCAUAUUUACAACAAAACGAAAGGAAAUGAAUUUAAACAUUAGAAACAAAAGAAAGACAACACCUAAACGCUCCAACGAUCCAAUUUGGACAGCAAGCACG
rnacentral:lncRNA from 1 species